rnacentral:tRNA from 1 species
GGGUUGAUACCCAAGCGGUCAAAGGGGACGGAUUGUAAAUCCGUUAGCUAAGCUUACGUUGGUUCGAAUCCAACUUGACCCA